CGAGUGGCGAACGGGUGAGUAACACGUGGGUGAUCUGCCCUGCACUUCGGGAUAAGCUUGGGAAACUGGGUCUAAUACCGGAUAGGACAGCUGUCUAGUGUCAGUUGUGGAAAGUUUUUCGGUGCAAGAUGAGCUCGUGGCCUAUCAGCUUGUUGGUGGGGUAAUGGCCUACCAAGGCGUCGACGGGUAGCCGGCCUGAGAGGGUGUACGGCCACAUUGGGACUGAGAUACGGCCCAG
rnacentral:rRNA from 1 species